UUUUUUGUUCUUUGAUCUCAUAAAGAGCCUUUAGGUGUAGAUUAGUCCAGAAGCAUUAAGUUUCCCAAAUUUUAUGUUAUUCUUAAAUAUUAUGUUAAGCAACGUAAAAAGUGUUCUUGAUUGCCUUUAGUCUAUUAAUAUAUGAGCAUGAGCUGUUCAAACAGAAUAAGUUAUAAGAGUUGCAAAGAAAAGAGAAAACUAAAGAGAAACAGACGAG
rnacentral:lncRNA from 1 species